GACGAACGCUGGCGGCGUGCUUAACACAUGCAAGUCGAACGGAAAGGCCUGCUUUCCCUUGUGGAUUGCGGGUACUCGAGUGGCGAACGGGUGAGUAACACGUGAGUGAUCUGCCCCCAACUUGGGUAUAAGCCUGGGAAACUGGGUCUAAUUCCCGAUAGGACUGCAGGGUAGUGCCUGUGGUGGAAAACGAUUUUCUAGUGGUUGGGGAUGAGCUCGCGGCGUAUCAGCUUGUUGGUGGGGUAAUGGCCUACCAAGGCGGCGACGGGUAGCCGGCGUGAGAGGGUGGACAGCCACACUGGGACUGGGAUACGGCCCAGACUCGUGCGAGAGGCAGCAGUUGGGAAUAGUGGACAGUGGGCGGGAGCCUGAUGCAGCGACGCCGCGUGGGGGAUGACGGGCUUCGGGUGGUAAACUCCUUGCGAACGCGAGGAAGCCACCUGGUUGGAAGGGUGGUGACGGUAGUGGUAGAAGAAGCACCGGCUAACUACGUG
rnacentral:rRNA from 1 species